rnacentral:rRNA from 1 species
UGGGGAAUAUUGGACAAUGGGCGAAAGCCUGAUCCAGCAAUGCCGCGUGAGUGAUGAAGGCCUUAGGGUUGUAAAGCUCUUUUACCAGGGAUGAUAAUGACAGUACCUGGAGAAUAAGCUCCGGCUAACUCCGUGCCAGCAGCCGCGGUAAUACGGAGGGAGCUAGCGUUGUUCGGAAUUACUGGGCGUAAAGCGUACGUAGGCGGUGACUCAAGUCAGAGGUGAAAGCCUGUAGCUCAACUCCAGAACUGCCUUUGAUACUGGCUGUCUCGAGGUCGAGAGAGGUUGGUGGAAUUCCUAGUGUAGAGGUGAAAUUCGUAGAUAUUAGGAAGAACACCAGUGGCGAAGGCGGCCAACUGGCUCGAUACUGACGCUGAGGUGCGAAAGCGUGGGGAGCAAACAGGAUUAGAUACCCCUGUAGUCCCUGAGCGGGCUGGCAAGGCGCAU